CCCCCGUUAGCAUGUUCGUUGAUGAAUUUUGCUGCAGUUUAUAUAUAAUUAUAUUAUCAUUUUUUUUUGGGUAAAGUUAUUGUAAUACAUUUUUGUUUUAUUUUAUUUUUUCUCUCCUAUUCCACCGUUCGAUGUCCAUGCGGAGAUGAUUGACUUUUUUUUGAGGUGAAAUGGAGGAAGUAAGAUACUUCCCCAUGAAGAUUAAUCUUACUGUUGCGGCCAAUCGCCUCGUCGCCCGAUCGCCGGGGAGCGUGCACCUGCAAAAGGAAGUCCGCACUGACCGGAGGCGGCUCCGGUCGGAGACCCUCCGACGGUCAAGUCAGAGAGGUGACUGGGCAACAGUGAAAUGCAGACAGAGAGCUCUGAGAAAGAGAG
rnacentral:lncRNA from 1 species